rnacentral:tRNA from 1 species
GGUUCCGUAGUGUAGCGGUUAUCACAUUGGACUCUGAAUCCAGUAACCCCGGUUCGAAUCCGGGCGGGACCU